CAAGCGGGAAGUGAACCUGCUGGUCUGACUUCUGCUUGAUGCGAGAGUGUAUUCUAUACUAUACUUGACAUCAUCUUUCCUGUCUCUUGUUUUGCGUUCAAAGGAUUGCGUCGAGACCAUGCCGUUUGAACGUGAAAUACCUUGGAUAACCUGGCCGGGAAGUGGGAUAAAGAAAAUGGCCAGCUUCAGUUGUAAUGGCCUUAACUCGAAGGAAAAACAACGGGAUGGAAGACUGUAGCCAGAACUACUGAAAGCAGACAUGAUGGACAAUCAGUAUGGAACACAUCAACUGGAUCUAAGGGGACGGCUGUGCAUCAACAAAGAAAACCAAGAGACCUCUCUAUGAUCAACAUGGCAACAAUCAAGAGUAAAGAAAAUUGAAAUGCCGGGUGUCAACCUGCCCCUACUUCUCAGGUGUUAAAAUAUGGAAUUGCUGGACAGACUCUCUACUUGAUGGCUCUCACACCUCAUUGUGUAACUUACUGUAGCAUCGCCCAUAUUUGGACACUAAGGGCUAAGAUGUGGUGUGGUUGGUUGUUCCUGUGUAUAAAGGGAAUUAUGAAGCAUCGUUCUGUGGAUUCUUCAUCUCCUGAGACCUUCUCCUCAGUUCUGGCUUGUCCUACUGUCCUUCUCCUUCUUCACAUCUUGCUUUCUCUCUCUGAUUUACAAUGACCAUGGUAUAGUAGGUUAGAGUUAACCUUCCUUUGACACAUUUUUGCCUUGGAAUAGAUUUCAGUCAUUUGCCAUGUUAUUAAAUGUGUAUUCAUAUUAA